CAUAGUUGUCAUUGUUGUACAACAGCCUGUUUUUCUGCACUGAAUCUUAAACACACCCUUUUCUUCAGUAUUUAAUAAGACAACCGAUAAACAUCAAACAAGUACUGAGCUUCUGUACAAGCACAGUGUAACUGACAGUCAGAGGCGUCUGACAUCUUGUAUUUUUAAGCAGAAGGAGGUUAAAGAGACACUGGUCUAACUCAUGGAUUAUGGGGUGAUCAUCAUUGUGCUCACAGGAGCACUGGUCAAUGUUGCCUCUGCCCAAACUCGUCAGUACUACUUUGAGAGUACACCACUGAACUGGACUGAAGCUCAGAGCUUU